GUGAUAUGACCAAGCCUGUUCUUUUUUUCUUCUGUCUUCUCUCUCUCGGCUCUCACCUCUCUCACCUUCUCUCUUCGAUUUCGUCUACUAUGAAUGAGAUUUUGGAAAAAUCUCAAGUACUAAAGUUGUUCUACGCGACGAGAGCUUCCGAUCCAUCCAAGAAAGUUCAUGAUCGGAGCACUUCGAAGUUUCCUCCAUGUUCGGGCUUGCUUCUAACCUUCGAGGUACUCGCCAUGGCACUUAACUUGGGUUGCAUGGGGUGCACAUUGAGACGUCUCUUGAGAGCUUCAUUGGUAUCAUUAAGGAAGUGUUUAUCAUCUAGUCUGAUUCAUGUUGUGUACUUUACUCGCAAUUGAAGGUUGUACCUUUUGAUUAGAAUAUAUGUAAAGCCAUGUAUAAACUCCUCUCCUUGAUUUUU